CGAAGUUGAACCCUCGGACACUAUAGAAAAUGUAAAGGCCAAGAUCCAGGAUAAGGAAGAAACUCCUCCUGAUCAGCAGAGGUUGGUCUUUGCUGGUAAGCAGCUGGAAGGUGGCCGUACUUUGUCUGACUACAACAUUCAAAAGGAGUCCACUCUCCAUCUCGUGCUGAGACUUCAUGGUGGCGCUAAGAAAAGGAAGAAGAAAGGCCCUGGGUUCGAUCCCCAGCUCCAAAAAAAAAAAAGAAAAGAAAAAAAAAAGAAAAGGAAGAAGAAGUCUUACACCACCCCAAAGAAGAACAAGCAUAAGAGAAAGAAGGUCAAGUUGGCUGUGCUGAAAUACUAUAAGGUGGAUGAAAAUGGCAAAAUCAGCCGACUUCGUCGGGAAUGUCCUUCUGAUGAAUGUGGUGCUGGAGUUUUCAUGGGUAGCCACUUUGACAGGCAUUACUGUGGCAAGUGUUGUCUGACUUACUGCUUCAACAAACCAUAAGACAAGUAGUUGUGUAUGAGUUAAUAAAAAGAAGGAACUGAUGUUUAAAAAAACAAAAAACAAAA
rnacentral:lncRNA from 1 species